AUUGAACGCUGGCGGCAGGCCUAACACAUGCAAGUCGAGCGGUAACACAGGGAGCUUGCUCCUGGGUGACGAGCGGCGGACGGGUGAGUAAUGUCUGGGAAACUGCCCGAUGGAGGGGGAUAACUACUGGAAACGGUAGCUAAUACCGCAUAACGUCGCAAGACCAAAGAGGGGGACCUUCGGGCCUCUUGCCAUCGGAUGUGCCCAGAUGGGAUUAGCUAGUAGGUGGGGUAACGGCUCACCUAGGCGACGAUCCCUAGCUGGUCUGAGAGGAGGACCAGCCACACUGGAACUGAGACACGGUCCAGACUCUUACGGGAGGCAGCAGUGGGGAAUAUUGCACAAUGGGCGAAAGCCUGAUGCAGCCAUGCCGCGUGUAUGAAGAAGGCCUUCGGGUUGUAAAGUACUUUCAGCGAGGAGGAAGGCGAUAAGGUUAAUAACCUUGUCGAUUGACGUUACUCGCAGAAGAAGCACCGGCUAACUCCGUGCCAGCAGCCGCCGUAA
rnacentral:rRNA from 1 species